CGGACGGGAGCUGCAGCGCAGAGCGGAGGAGCCAUCUUGUCUUGUCGCCGGGGAGUCAGGCCCCUAACUCGAAGAAGCCCUGGCGCGCCCUCCCCCACUCCCCGGUCUGGUAGGGCGAAGGAGCGGGCGUGCGGUCGAUCGAGCGAUCGGUUGGCGGCUCUUCCUCCUGCUCUGGCAUCCAGCUCUUGGGGCGCAGGCCCGGCCGCCGCGGCGCGCGCCCGGUGGCCGUUGGCGCUCGCGCCGCGUCUUUCUUCUCGUCCGCAGAACUCGGGCGGCGGCCUAUGCGUUUGCGAUUCGACGAGGAGUCGUCCGGGUGGUCGGCGGCGGCGGGCAGCUGCUCCGCCCCGCUCCCGGGGAGGCGGCGGGGGAGGCUGGGGUGGCCGGGGCCGGCCUGGAGGCCUGGCGCCACCCUUCCGGGCCUGCUAGGACGCAGCUGGAGGGACAGGAGGGCGCGGGAGGAUGGUUGGUGGUGGGCUUUCUCCUCUGCCUUUUCCUACUUAUGCCACCUUAGCGUGGGGGUGGAAGCUCUGGCGGCAGCUCCGGGGUGGGGAUUCGAGCUCCGGAGUCGGAAGAUCUGGGUUUGCUUCCGGGCCUAGCCACCCGCUGGCCGAGUGACCUUAGGCAAGUCACUCUGUAAUUUGUCUGCGCCUCAGUUUCCUCCUCUGCCUAUCAGUGUGUGUCUGGGAUUGAAAGCGCUUUUACAGAAGCGUCCGUUUACAUAAAGGAUGAUUAUCGUUUUUAUUUUUUUGAGUUGCGAGAAGACUUAGCAACUGCUCAUUCCCAGGAGUUAAAUCCGGGAACCUUUUAUUGGAGUUGGAGAUCGGCAGGCUCCUUGAAUUUGUGUGCAGAAACGUGUGGGAAAGAGCAUUCUUGGGGAAUGGGCGGACCCAUCAAUAGCAAGUUUUCAAAGGGGGCCGUGACCCAGAAGAGAACAAUUGUAUGCCACCGGGAGGAAACUGAGGCCUACAUGUCAUUUGGGACCCUUCACAACCAAUUUGAAGCCCCCAUUUGAGUCCCUGGUAUAUGUGAGCUGCUUCUUAAUGCAUAAUGGCUAUUUCGGGUAACAUCAUUUCACUGCUUGGCUUCUAUUCUAAGCCCUUUCCUCUCACCGUAGGGUGCCUGAAGGGUGGCAGAUACACGUGGUACAGUGGCACCCAAUAUAAAGCAGCUACAAUUAGGAGUGAAUGUGUUCUGUAGUAUCAAGAAAUGUAAUCUUUGGCCCAGCAAUUGUUUUUCUGCUGCUUGUACUGGUGCCUGACUACUUUUCUUUCAUUGACCAUUUUCUACAACCAUGAUUGACAUCCGUCGUUUGCUCCUAUAGUGUAUCCCUGGUUUGCGUGGUUGAUAGUGAACAGGCUUAUUUUUAAAUGGUGCUGCCAAACCCAGCUAAUGGUGCAGGUGGAUAUUUAGCAAGCGGGCUCCCUGAAGCAGACUGAACCAGGCAUUGGAUUCCUGAGACUGUUUGGGAUUAUUUUUGGUUUGGCUUGUUUGGUUUGGUUCUUAUUAUUAAUUGAAGGUUAACAGUCUCUGAAAAGUUGUUGGACUCUGGUUGAACCACAAAAUCAGUAUAUUUGGAAGUAAUUUGAAGCUUAACUUUUUCCUGGCCAGCCUUGUAUUCUAAUUGCUUGCAAGUGUGAGACUGAAAUGGCCAAAAUGCCGUUUUUUGUUUAUUUCUGUUAAUUGUCAGCUGCUUUCCUCAAAUUGCAGGCCAUUAUCCAGCAAACACUAUAAAAAUGUUUGAACAGUUGCAUUUCAGACAUUUUCGUUUUGUGGAGUGGUGCUUAUCAAGUGGUACAGCUCUCGAAGCAAGUGAACACAACAUAUUUAAGUGUAUUUUGUAUGAUUAGAGGUUACCAAUUCCGAUAUUUUAUUCAAAUGUAUAUAAAAAAUUAAGUUGACUAUUCCCUUUACCAAAGGGCCAGAGACAAAUGAUUUCCCUUCAAGAGAAAUGACUGUUUUGGAGAAAAAUGUGUUGGUCUUAGUUCUUUUGUAAUUAAAUCUGGAUGUACCUCAAAAGACUCUUUUAAGACUGUGGUGUUAAAGGCUUUCCUCUGGAGAAAGGAGGAGAAAGGAGAAAAAGAAAAAUCAACUGGAAUUUAAAAGCUUGAAAUUCCGUGACAAAGCACAGAUGUCCAGGAUUGGAGGUUCAUGAAGUGUUUGCAGUAAUUGGAGCAGAUACACUUUUCCGUGUAAUUGCCACUGUGGACUCCAGGUUUCCAGAUUUUCAAUUGCUGGACCUGUGACCCAGAAGAGCUUGUCAAGAUGUGGCAGGAACUCUGGAGGUAGAUGUCUUGUACUUUUCAACUUUGGAACUGUUGAUUUUGCCAUGUGUAAAGAGGCAACAAGACAACAAGCACUGCCACCAGCGUUGUUACUGGAAACUUGAAGACCUGGGUUUCUGUCCAGACCCUCAGUGCAAACUGACAACACUCCAUCCAAAGUGAACCUAUGUCCUGUGCCUCCUGAUUGCUGAGUCUUCACCUGGACCCUGUGAUGACCUUCCUUCUGCUAGUCCAUCAGCCGCAGAACUGAUACCUGGAUUUCUGUCCAUGGUGAUUCCUACCACCUUACUACUGAAGAAGACACCAUUCCAGUGGACCACUGUGACCCAAGAAGCAUUCAGCCAUCAUGAUGUGAUCUUUACCUCCACUCCUGUUCUUUGCUCAGAUUCAGCACAGCCCUUUAUAGUGCAGUCAAGAGUCUUCAAGCCAAAUAACUGAAGCUAUUUUAUCACAAUAAAGGCCAAGUUUAUUCCAUAAAUGUACAGUUCAUUUCUGCAGUUAAGUCUUCAGAGACACAUAGUAAACUUGGACAAGGGGAUUUUGUGUUUUGUUUGUGAAUUGUCAACACUGUCUGAAAAUGGCAUCAUCUCUGAAAACAGCAUUGGAACAUACUCCACAAUCUCAAAUGACUGAAGUUUAAUGAACUGACUAGGAUCCUGUCAAGGUCACUGGACUCUUGUUUUGUUUUUGUUUUCCUCCUUCAAAUCUAUAGCUGUCUACUGAAUGAGAAGCAGACAUUCUGACCCAUUGGGAUCAAAACUAAGGCACAUCGAAUUCCUCAUAGUAUCAUCUUUGGGUUACUCAGGAACCAAAACUUUUCACACCAAUAUAAGAAAUUCUACUAAGGAGUCCCUUUACCUAACCAUCUCACCAGGCUUCAACCAGAUUCCGGAAAAGACUUCUGAUACAUCAAGAUAGAACCUAUAUGCAUUUUGUGAACAACUUAUCCUUAUCACUGAUUUUCCAAGGGCUUUGUGCUUAAUGAAGUCCUUUGAAGGAAAGCUAUGUGGAAGUCCAGAGUAAAGUGAAGCUGCUCUGGAGUAGGGAUCUGCAGCCUGCCACAACUAUUCCUUUACCAUCAUGGUGACAACUAAAGGGACUUCUUUAUGGAAAAUUCUUCAGAAGAUACUGCUGGAAACCACUGCCCUAGAUAACAUGUUUGACCUGAAUGACAUUCUGACCUUAUGUGUAUUUCCAAUUCUAUAUAGUUCAUAUUCAGUUGAUGCCGAACAUGUUUGGAGAUGGGUAUGCCUUUGUCCAGAGAACGAUCACACAGCGUUGUCAAGUGAAAUUUUAUUAAUAGCAUUCCAUCCAAGGUGGACUUCCUGGAGUUGGAUAUAGCCAGAGAAUAAUACAUGUGUAUCCUACACCGAAGAACCCCAUUAACUUUCACAAACGUGUACCUAGUGGUACUGGAAGUAUGUGGCUUGGAAGUCUUGGAACUUGGAUAUAGGAAUUGCCUGAAAGCUGGUAUUGAAGCUGAUGUCUCAUUGAGGCCAUCUUAGACCAAGUUGUUUAUUUGACCUCUCCACAUAAACUAUGGUACUCCACGUACAAAGGAUAAUCAUUAACUAUGAAGCAAAAUCCAAAUACAGUUUUUCCUAAAGGGACUUGUAACCUGAUUAUCAUUCACUGUCUCAAUUUCAACUCAUGUGACUAUUAAUUAAACUGCUCCAUGGUUUCCUGUUAUUUAAUAACUACUGUUUCCAGGGCUUAAAGAAAAAUUAAAUUCCUCCAACACUUGUUAUUUCUGCCUUUUCAAAAUUAAUUUACUCACCUCUACAUGGAACAGAUGAUCGUGAAGACAUAUUCUGAACAUCCUUUAUCAUAUGUGACUUAAAACAUAGCUGGACAAUUUUCCUCUACCAUUGAAAUAUUCUUUAAUGAUUAUUCUUCCGGCUUGGUACCAUCAGCUGUAUGUGAUGGGCAUAGUUGGACGCAGAUUCUUUGACUCUAGGCCAUGAUAGCCUGCUAGACAUUUCAAGUAGCAUAUUGUUGACCUUUUUGCUGGAAAAUUAGACUAACUUGGAAAAAAUAAUCUAUAAAUGGCAGCUAAGGAUUUUUUUCAAUAUUCUUGAGUGUCCUGUUGGAUGUUUUAAUGGAGUUUCAUCUGUCUCGUAUUAUCACUUUACACUAGUUCAGAGUGACUGACUUUAUUCCUUACUAUGAGGUAUUCUUAAGACAUUAAGAUUAUUUUUUUCUUGUAGAAAGGAUAAAAUCCCUGAAUACUGAAAUCAUAGUAAACAAGACUUUGUGACCUGAGAAAAUCUCAUUCUUCAACUUCAUAGUCUAAGGGCCAACUACCAUCAGCUACUCUUGAGUACAUUGGGUAAACGUUGGAACUGCUGCUUUUUAUAUUCUUGUUUCUUACCCUCUAACCAUGGUUGUAUAAUUGUUGACACAAAUCAGCAAAUCAAACUCAGAUCGGGUUAUUCUAAACUGCUCACAGUCAGCAAAUCAAAAUCGGGAUGAUUUCUGCUUUUAUCUGCAACUAUUAUUUGUAAAGAAGAAAUCACAGAUUCACUUUUCUAUUAUCUCUACAUUAGCUCUUUCUUUUUACUGUAUUUGCAGGAAAAAAAAACUACACUGCCAGUCAUUUCUUCUGAUUCUGCCAUACUCAGUUAAAACGAGCAAUCAAUCUAAUCAGUGAUUGGAUAAAUAGAAAAAACUAAAACUUAAGGCAAAAGCCUUAUUCUAGGGCCUUGUCUACUGUCUUCAUGCCUUGGAGCUCAUCUAAAUCUUACAACAGUGCCACCCAACCAACCAGUCUGAGGCCUUGACUUGCCUUUAAGAUUCUUGGCGAUGGGCUGUAUUACAGAAGGGGAAGACUUGAUUACCAAAGAAAUCCUGUUGCUCUCAGAUGUAGCAUAGACUCCUAAAUAGAACCUCAAGUCUGCAUUGAGGAUAUAGCCUUCUAAGCUGACAGUUCUUGCACAGAUGAGCAGGAAAAUGAAAGCUGCUAUACCCAACUGUCCCUUUAAGAUACAAAAAAAUUUUGUCUGGAGUAAACCCUUUGGAUUAUCUCUGGAGUACCCAGGACAAAAACUAAUUUACAGAGCUUCAUUAUCAAUCUGCCUAUUCUUCCAAAUUAUAGUUUUACUAUUGGUAUGACUGGCCCUGCUGAAGUUACUCUGUUUACCUGUCUUUAGCUCUUAACCUGCCUAUUUUGACAUGCUACUGCAAUCAGACUAACUGGCCUUGAGAAUACCAUCAGUUUCAGGCUUGUGCCCAGUUCCAUCAACGAAUUUUGAAUAGAAGGAACCUGUACCAUACCCUACCAGAACUCAAUGUUCACAACAGGGAGGACCAUGCUGCAUACUCUUUGACCAACAACUUUAAGUAGAGAAUAACCCUGCUUAUUUUCAACACCUGAAUCAUGUUUGAUCUAACAGAAGUAUAUCAGGUUGAAAAGCAAGAGUGCAUUGCUUUUUUUUUCUGUAAUAACUAAGAAAUGAAUAUGAUUGACCAGGACUAAGAAAUUAUAAGUUCACCUUGAGACAUAAAGCAACACAAGAACUUGACCACUGAACUUAAUUUGCAGCUAACUCAAACAGCUUCAAACUGUUUGCCAAGUAGGAGAAUGGUUUUCCUGCUUCACAUCACCAAUGUCAAUCUGACUUGAAUGAAAACUCCAUGGUGAAUCCUCGAGUAUGAAGCUAAUGGAAAUUAUCAUUCAUUUAAGUGAUUUGUAGGCUUCCUAUGGACAGGACAGACAUCGCUCCUGGUGAUUUUUAGAAUUCUAUUACCAAGGAAGAAAAACCAACUACUAUAAGCCAACUUUAUGGUCAAAGAUUAAGCUCUGUACUUGGCCUUAUCCCUGGAUGUUCUUUUUUAUUGCCCAUUCCAUCUCACUAUAACAACUUCCUGAUAUUUUUUGGAACCAUCUCUUCCAGUUUUCAGUCCAUGUGGUUUAGACACUUGUUGAAUCUUGUGCUGGACAUGUUAUUCCAACCUCAUCAAUCAGCAAAGUCCUUCUUGACUCUAGUGAUUGAUUCAGGAAUGGAUGCACGAUUCAAGUUUGUCCAAUGAUAAUCAGCCCUAGGUGGUUUACUCAGUUGUGGAGAAGUUCCCUUAACUUAGAUGCUUUAGCUUUGUGGGAGAAAAACUCAAACCAACAGGGCCUACUAUGUUCAAUGAGCCAGGCAGAAAAUGAAGCCAGUGCAGAGGGAAACAGCCAAAAGAGCAAAAGACUUGAGUUCUGAUGACAACAUUUAUGCCCCCGGGAUCCAGCUGUGCCUGAAGCUAGUGGUAUAUCCCCUGGACUUUGCAGUUAUGUGAACCAAUAAAUACCCUUUUUGUUGAAGUUA